UACGGGGGGGGCAAGCGUUGUUCGGAAUUACUGGGCGUAAAGGGUUUGUAGGUGGCCCGCUAAGUCACACGUGAAAUCCCUCAGCUUAACUGGGGAACUGCGUGUGAGACUGGCAGGCUCGAGGGCAGGAGAGGAACGCGGAAUUCCAGGUGUAGCGGUGAAAUGCGCAGAUAUCGGGAGGAACACCGGUGGCGAAGGCGGUUCUCUGGGCCUGUACUGACGCUGAGGAGCGAAAGUGUGGGGAGCGAACAGG
rnacentral:rRNA from 1 species